UGCAUUUACAACGUGUCUUUAGU
rnacentral:miRNA from 1 species